rnacentral:rRNA from 1 species
AUUGAACGCUGGCGGCAGGCUUAACACAUGCAGGUCGAGCGGAGUGAUGGUGCUUGCACUAUCACUUAGCGGCGGACGGGUGAGUAAUGCUUAGGAAUCUGCCUAUUAGUGGGGGACAACAUCUCGAAAGGGAUGCUAAUACCGCAUACGUCCUACGGGAGAAAGCAGGGGAUCACUUGUGACCUUGCGCUAAUAGAUGAGCCUAGGUCGGAUUAGCUAGUUGGUGGGGUAAAGGCCUACCAAGGCGACGAUCUGUAGCGGGUGUGAGAGGAUGAUACGCCACACUGGGAGUGAGACACGGCCCGGACUCCUACGGGAGGCAGCAGUGGGGAAUAUUGGACAAUGGGCGCAAGCCUGAUCCAGCCAUGCCGCGUGUGUGAAGAAGGCCUUAUGGUUGUAAAGCACUUUAAGCGAGGAGGAGGCUACUUUAGAUAAUGCCUAGAGAUAGUGGACGUUACUCGCAGAAUAAGCACCGGCUAACUCUGUGCCAGCCGCCGCCGUAA